CUGUGACUCUGCAGAGUAAAUAGCAGCAGACUCAGUUCCCUUUCAGUCAGAAUGGGCCGUAACUGAGUUGAUAUUGUUUUCGAAGGAAACGAUGGAAAUAAUUCAUUUCGGGAUGGGACUGAAGAGGCGACUUGGCGUUCGCAACACUUUCAUCCUGCUGGUUUUGGGGAAUAUUGCGACUGUAAUAUGCAUUAAUGGCCAAAGUCUUGACUGUACCAACGACUUUGAUAAAACCAUGUUUUGCCACUUUGGAGGGGAAAACUGUACCGAAUACAGAAUGACUCUUGUGAAUGACAGCUGGUAUGGG